rnacentral:rRNA from 1 species
CUACUACCGAUUGAAUGGCUCAGUGAGGCUUUCGGACUGAUCUAAGGGAGGAGGCAACUCUUCCCCCUGGUCGGAAAGUUAUCCAAACUCGGUCAUUUAGAGGAAGUAAAAGUCGUAACAAGGUCUCCGUUGGUGAACCAGCGGAGGGAUCAUUACUGAGUUUACGCUCUACAACCCUUUGUGAACAUACCUAUAACUGUUGCUUCGGCGGGUAGGGUCUCCGCGACACUCCCGGCCUCCCGCCCCCGGGCGGGUCGGCGCCCGCCGGAGGAUAACCAAACUCUGAUGUAACGACGUUUCUUCUGAGUGGUACAAGCAAAUAAUCAAAACUUUUAACAACGGAUCUCUUGGUUCUGGCAUCGAUGAAGAACGCAGCGAAAUGCGAUAAGUAAUGUGAAUUGCAGAAUUCAGUGAAUCAUCGAAUCUUUGAACGCACAUUGCGCCCGCCAGCAUUCUGGCGGGCAUGCCUGUUCGAGCGUCAUUUCAACCCUCAAGCUCUGCUUGGUGUUGGGGCCCUACAGCUGAUGUAGGCCCUCAAAGGUAGUGGCGGACCCUCCCGGAGCCUCCUUUGCGUAGUAACUUUACGUCUCGCACUGGGAUCCGGAGGGACUCUUGCCGUAAAACCCCC